rnacentral:rRNA from 1 species
GACGAACGCUGGCGGCGUGCUUAACACAUGCAAGUCGAGCGGUAAGGCCCUUCGGGGUACACGAGCGGCGAACGGGUGAGUAACACGUGGGUGAUCUGCCCUGCACUCUGGGAUAAGCCUGGGAAACUGGGUCUAAUACUGGAUAUGACCUCAGCAUGCAUGUGCUGGGGUGGAACGCUUUUGUGGUGCAGGAUGGGCCCGCGGCCUAUCAGCUUGUUGGUGGGGUAAUGGCCUACCAAGGCGACGACGGGUAGCCGACCUGAGAGGGUGACCGGCCACACUGGGACUGAGACACGGCCCAGACUCCUACGGGAGGCAGCAGUGGGGAAUAUUGCACAAUGGGCGGAAGCCUGAUGCAGCGACGCCGCGUGAGGGAUGAAGGCCUUCGGGUUGUAAACCUCUUUCAGCAGGGACGAAGCGUGAGUGACGGUACCUGCAGAAGAAGCACCGGCUAACUACGUGCCAGCCGCCGCGGUAACAC